rnacentral:rRNA from 1 species
GAUGAACGCUGGCGGCGUGCCUAAUACAUGCAAGGCGAGCGAACAGAUGAGGAGCUUGCUCCUCUGACGUUAGCGGCGGACGGGUGAGUAACACGUGGAUAACCUACCUAUAAGACUGGGAUAACUUCGGGAAACCGGAGCUAAUACCGGAUAAUAUAUUGAACCGCAUGGUUCAAUAGUGAAAGACGGUUUUGCUGUCACUUAUAGAUGGAUCCGCGCCGCAUUAGCUAGUUGGUAAGGUAACGGCUUACCAAGGCAACGAUGCGUAGCCGACCUGAGAGGGUGAUCGGCCACACUGGAACUGAGACACGGUCCAGGCUACUAAGGGAGGCAGCAGUAGGGAAUCUUACGCAAUGGGCGAAAGCCUGACGGAGCAACGCCGAGUGAGAGAUGACGGUCUUCGGAUCGUAAAACUCUGUUAUUAGGGAAGAACAACUGUGUAAGUAACUAUGCCCGUCUUGACGGUAACUAAUCAGAAAGCCACGGCUAACUACGUG